UACGUAGGGUGCGAGCGUUAAUCGGAAUUACUGGGCGUAAAGCGUGCGCAGGCGGUUUUGUAAGCCAGAUGUGAAAUCCCCGGGCUCAACCUGGGAAUGGCAUUUGGGACUGCAAGGCUUGAGUGCGGCAGAGGAGACUGGAAUUCCAGGUGUAGCGGUGAAAUGCGUAGAUAUCUGGAGGAACACCGGUGGCGAAGGCGGCGUCCUGGACCAAUACUGACACUGAAACGCGAAAGCCAGGGGAGCAAACGGG
rnacentral:rRNA from 1 species